CCCUUCUCAAUAACGGGCAUCAAACUACCUCAGCAGAGCUUCUUAUUACGCACCAGCAGCUCCUUCCUUUAACAAUCGGAACCUGAAAUCUAAACGUUGCUCACCAUCAAAGACUUGUUCGCUUCAACUUACCCUUUGGGCUUACAAGGUUUUCGGGAUACCUGCAAAUAGCUCCCCACUGCCCCAUCGAUGCACUUAGACUAGGUUUUGACUUCAUUCCUUAGCCACUGUUCCAAGAAGCUC
rnacentral:misc_RNA from 1 species